rnacentral:rRNA from 1 species
GAUGAACGCUGGCGGCGUGCCUAAUACAUGCAAGUCGAACGAACGGACGAGAUUCUUGCUUCUCUGAUGUUGGCGGCGGACGGGUGAGUCACACGUGGGUACCCUAUCUUUAAGGCUGGGACAACUUCGGCAAAAUGGAGCCAAUACAGGACAAUAUUUUGAAAAGCAUGGUUCAAAAGUGAAAGACGGUCUUGCUGUGACGUUUAGAUGGAUCCGAGCUGCAUUAGCUAGUUGGUAAGGUAACGGCUUACCAAGGCAACGAUGCAUAGCCGACCUGAGAGGGUGAUCCGCCACACUGGAACUGAGACACGGCCCAGACUCCUACGGGAGGCAGCAGUAGGGAAUCUUCCGCAAUGGGCGAAAGCCUGACGGAGCAACGCCGCGUGAGUGAUGAAGGUCUUCGGAUCGUAAACCUCUGUUAUUAGGGAAGAACACAUCUGGAAUUAACUGUCUACAGCUUGACGGUACCUAAUGAGAAAGCCCCGGCUAACUACGUG